rnacentral:rRNA from 1 species
CCUACGGGUGACAGCAGUGAGGAAUAUUGGUCAAUGGCCGCAGGGCUGAACCAGCCAAGUCGCGUGAGGGAUGACGGUCCUAUGGAUUGUAAACCUCUUUUGUCAGGGAGCAAAGGGCGCCACGUGUGGCGCUUUGCGAGUACCUGAAGAAAAAGCAUCGGCUAACUCCGUGCCAGCAGCCGCGGUAAUACGGAGGAUGCGAGCGUUAUCCGGAUUUAUUGGGUGUAAAGGGUGCGCAGGCGGAAUGUCAAGUCAGCGGUAAAAUUUCGGGGCUCAACCCCGUCGUGCCGUUGAAACUGGCGUUCUUGAGUGAGCGAGAAGUAUGCGGAAUGCGUGGUGUAGCGGUGAAAUGCAUAGAUAUCACGCAGAACUCCGAUUGCGAAGGCAGCAUACCGGCGCUCAACUGACGCUCAUGCACGAAAGCGUAGGUAUCGAACAGGAUUAGAUACCCCUGUAGUC